rnacentral:rRNA from 1 species
GCAAUGGGGGGAACCCUGACCGAGCAACGCCGCGUGAGUGAAGAAGGUUUUCGGAUCGUAAAGCUCUGUUGUUAAGGAAGAACGAGUGUGAGAAUGGAAAGUUCAUACUGUGACGGUACUUAACCAGAAAGGGACGGCUAACUACGUGCCAGCAGCCGCGGUAAUACGUAGGUCCCGAGCGUUGUCCGGAUUUAUUGGGCGUAAAGCGAGCGCAGGCGGUUAGAAAAGUCUGAAGUGAAAGGCAGUGGCUCAACCAUUGUAGGCUUUGGAAACUGUUUAACUUGAGUGCAGAAGGGGAGAGUGGAAUUCCAUGUGUAGCGGUGAAAUGCGUAGAUAUAUGGAGGAACACCGGUGGCGAAAGCGGCUCUCUGGUCUGUAACUGACGCUGAGGCUCGAAAGCGUGGGGAGCGAACAGGAUUAGAUACCCUGGUAGUCCACGCCGUAAACGAUGAGUGCUAGGUGUUAGGUCCUUUCCGGGACUUAGUGCCGCAGCUAACGCAUUAAGCACUCCGCCUGGGGAGUACGACCGCAAGGUUGAAACUCAAAGGAAUUGACGGGGGCCCGCACAAGCGGUGGAGCAUGUGGUUUAAUUCGAAGCAACGCGAAGAACCUUACCAGGUCUUGACAUCCCGAUGCUAUUUCUAGAGAUAGGAAGUUUCUUCGGAACAUCGGUGACAGGUGGUGCAUGGUUGUCGUCAGC